AAAAGACAUUUGAUCUCACAACUAGAUGAUCUUUAAGGUCCCUUCCAACGUAAACCAUUCUGUGAAUCUAUGUUACAAACAAUGUAACUGGCUAUCACUGGCAUAUGUGCCUCUCUAAACCAGGAAAAAAAAAAUGUAUUUCCCAAUUAGGACAUUCAAUAUUCAACAGGACCAGAAAUAGAAUGGAAUAUCCAAGAAGUAGAAGAGCUUAAACUAAAUAAUUAUCUAGGGAAACUGUGUGCUAAAGUCAAUAGGGAUUCAGCCAGUUCACUGGAAUACCAAGUAUGUUUGCACAGAAGGCCAACUGAAACAGCAAACGUCUUUCUAAAAUGCAUCAAAAAUAAUUAGAAGUGCCAAAAGUGGAAAGCUGCAUAUACACAGCAAACCUGGAUAGGCACCUUAUACGAUGAUAUUUCUCUAUACCCAGUUUGUUCCUACGAUCUCACAAAGUAGCACUAGCCACUUCUGUCACAAAGCUCAUUUAUAAAGCUUCCAAAUUCAGCAUAAGAUCUGAAAACUGCUUGGCUAAAAAGAGCUAGAAAGGAAUGCAGACCUUUAUGCUAUAUAUAACCCCCCUAAAAAUAUCAGUGCUGUCUUACACUGGAAUUUUAUAAAACUGGCCAACAUCUUCAAAAACUGCGUUGCUCUUUGAUAAACAAGCUAGACACAAACUGCGCCUGUGCUUCAAUAAUGGCACGUGUGGGUCUGAUUAGAAAUAAAAAAUACAGUGCCCUCUGAACUAAAUUCCAGUACACAGCUCCACCAGCGCGCAGCUUACCAAAUGGUAUUUCCAUCCCAUUUCCAUCAUUUUCCAUCCAUAGUUAAAAGAAUUAAGACAGCACAGUACAAAAACGCUUAUAUACUACGUGAUCCUAACGGCCUGAUAUUAACUAUAGUCUUGCUAGCGACCUUUGAAGACGAGCCUCUUUCCCGUUUUAUACAAUUGCUGCGGCAGAACAAUUUACGUUUUCAUUUCUCCCGCUGCCACGUCCCAGAGGGCGCUGCCGGCGGGCGGCGCGGGGCUGUGCUGCGGGCGAUGCGCAGCCCCCUGCCCGCAGCCACGCACAGCCCUGGCGCCUGGCGCAGCCCACGCAGGGCACAGGGGGCUGCGGCGGACAUCCCACGUGGCCAGCCAACACCUCGGCCUGCAGAUGCUGGUGGAAGACAAGACUUGCUCAAACCUGUUUGUCAACGCCUGCUACGCCAGCCUCACACCAGCAGCACCCCACAGCAGGCCCUACGACUGAAGCAAGCGGAGAGCCCUCGCUCCGCUAACCGCCCUACCGGGCCGUGGAUACAGUGACCGGGAUUUUAGCAGCUCGCCUCCUCUGGAGCCAUCCGGGAGCUCUGGAUUUCACGAAACCACAGAGCAGACCAUCCCGAGGCUUCAUUUAAUUACCAGGAAGCCACAAAGCAGACCAUCUGCAGAAGCCAAUUCAUGGUCAGCCCCCCCAGGAAAGCCAAGCCAGGCACCGCGCCCCUGCCCGCUCCCCUGCUCCCGCUGUGCACGGCCGGAGGCACCGCGCUCCUCCCCGGGCGCUCCAGGCCAGGGAGGCCCCGUCGGCCCCAGGCGUCCCCACCCCUGCGGGCACCAGCAUUUCACAGCAGACGACACUGCGGCAGCGAGGAGCUGCUGUGCUGCUCAGGCGUGUUGGACCUCUGCACCCUGCUGAAACCACUCAGAAGGGAGCAGGGCCUGGGGGAACUCUGGGGUGAUGGCCCCCAAGUCAGUGCUGAUGCAGCUCUUCUACCAAGGUGUGCCAGACCUUUAAACGUGCUCGCACAGGCCACAUCACCGAUCAGAGCUUGAAUAACCAUAACUUCAGACACCAGAUCUACUACUUCAAAUUUUAGCUCCCUAGUUACAGUGCUUAUGAGAGGCACUCACAGAAUCAUAAAGUCAGAGUAUCACAGAAUCACAGAAUAACAGAAUGGUUUGGGUUGGAGGGGACCUUAAAGACCGUACAGUUCAAAUACAUCACAAUUUUAAAUGAUUACUGGAGUUAGGCAUAUCUGAUAUUGGAAGCUAACCAGAAGUAGAGACAACCCUGAAACCU
ensembl:lncRNA